UUCCGGUUGAUCCUGCCGGACCUGACUGCUAUCGGAUUGAUACUAAGCCAUGUGAGUCUCUGCAGCAAUGCAAGGCAGACGGCUCAGUAACACGUAGUCAAUCUAACCUAUGGACGAGGAUAAUCUCGGGAAACUGAGGAUAAUACUCGAUAGAUCAUUAUGCCUGGAACGGUUAAUGGUUGAAAUGAAUUUCGCCAUAGGAUGGGACUGCGGCCUAUCAGCUUGUUGGUGAGGUAAUGGCCCACCAAGGCUAUUACAGGUACGGGCUCUGAGAGGAGAAGCCCGGAGCUGGGUACUGAGACACGGACCCAGGCCCUAUGGGGCGCAGCAGGCGAGAAAACUUUGCAAUGUGCGAAAGCACGACAAGGUAAUCCGAGUGUUUCCUGCUAAAGGAAUCUUUUGUUAGUCAUAAAACCACUAUUGAAUAAGGGGUGGGCAAGUUCUGGUGUCAGCCGCCGCGGUAAAACCAGCACCUCAAGUGGUCAGGAGGUUUAUUGGGCCUAAAGCAUCCGUAGCCUGCUGUAUAAGUUUCCGGUUAAAUCCAAUUGCUCAACAUUUGGGCUGCCGAAAAUACUGUACAGCUAGGGAGUGGGAGAGGUAGACGGUACUCGGUAGGAAGGGGUAAAAUCCUUUGAUCUAUUGAUGACCACCUGUGGCGAAGGCGGUCUACCAGAACACGUUCGACGGUGAGGGAUGAAAGCUGGGGGAGCAAACCGGAUUAGAUACCCGGGUAGUCCCAGCUGUAAACGAUGCAGACUCGGUGAUGCAUUGGCUUGUGGCCAGUGCAGUGCCGCAGGGAAGCCGUUAAGUUUGCCGCCUGGGAAGUACGUACGCAAGUAUGAAACUUAAAGGAAUUGGCGGGGGAGCACACAAGGGGUGAAGCCUGCGGUUCAAUUGGACUCAACGCCGGAAAUCU
rnacentral:rRNA from 1 species